CUCCUACGGGAGGCAGCAGCAGGGAAUAUUGCACAAUGGGCGCAAGCCUGAUGCAGCGACGCCGCGUGAGGGAUGAAGGCCUUCGGGUUGUAAACCUCUUUCAGGAGGGACGAAGCGCAAGUGACGGUACCUCCAGAAGAAGCCCCGGCCAACUACGUGCCAGCAGCCGCGGUAAUACGUAGGGGGCGAGCGUUGUCCGGAUUCAUUGGGCGUAAAGAGCUCGUAGGCGGCUCAGUAAGUCGGCCGUGAAAGCCCAGGGCUCAACCCUGGGAGGCCGGUCGAUACUGCUGUGGCUAGGGUCCGGUAGAGGAGAGUGGAAUUCCCGGUGUAGCGGUGAAAUGCGCAGAUAUCGGGAGGAACACCAGUAGCGAAGGCGGCUCUCUGGGCCGGUACCGACGCUGAGGAGCGAAAGCUAGGGGAGCAAACAGGAUUAGAUACCCUGGUAGUCCUAGCCGUAAACGUUGGGCACUAGGUGUGGCGGAUUCAUUGACGUCUGCCGUGCCGGCGCUAACGCAUUAAGUGCCCCGCCUGGGGAGUACGGUCGCAAGGCUAAAACUCAAAGGAAUUGACGG
rnacentral:rRNA from 1 species